UACGGAGGGGGCUAGCGUUGUUCGGAAUUACUGGGCGUAAAGCGCGCGUAGGCGGCUUUGUAAGUCAGGGGUGAAAUCCCGGGGCUCAACCCCGGAACUGCCCUUGAAACUGGAGAGCUAGAAUCUUGGAGAGGCGAGUGGAAUUCCGAGUGUAGAGGUGAAAUUCGUAGAUAUUCGGAAGAACACCAGUGGCGAAGGCGACUCGCUGGACAAGUAUUGACGCUGAGGUGCGAAAGCGUGGGGAGCAAACAGG
rnacentral:rRNA from 1 species